GGGCAGGAGCACCUACGCGGGGGUCGUCGUAGGUGGGGGCCGCGCUAGCGGUGCCGGAGGCGGCAGAGGCAGGGGUAGCGCCACAGGUGGGCGGGUCCCUGCUAGUGGGGCCUCAUCGCAGGUGCGCGAGCCUCGCGGGUGGGCUGGAGGACUCUGGUUGGGGGCUCUAGAGAUGACGGGAGCGCCACAGGUGGGGCAGGGGCAGCGUCCGGAGGAGGGGAGACCGCAGGGGGGCGGGGUCACAUCGUUUGCGGGGCGCGCCAGGGCGGGGCGGGAUAGAACGCCGGGAGCAUCUCCUGGGGGGGCGAGGGAUACCGUGAGUGGGCGCGAGCGCCGGGGCGGGUGGAAACCCCGCAGUUGCGGGGAGCGCCGAUGGCGGGGAGGGGUGGAAUGGGGGCGCGGAGACCCCACCUGGACGCGGAGGCUCGCGGCAGGCCCGGCCGCUCGGGCCGUUGUGGGGGCCGAGCCCGGCCGCGCGCACAGCUUCUAGUGGCCCGCAGGAUUCCUCCUGGGGCGGCGCUGGGAGCCUCGGGGAUCGGCUUCCUCGACCCCCGCCCCAGGUUUCCUCUGCAGCCUGAGGUCGGGAAGGACGGACGGAGAGUGGAUCCUCCAGGUGGUGGGAAAAGGUAUCUUCCACGGACCUGUGACCUGUCGCUGUGUACAAGCUUGAAUUCCUAACUACGAGUCCUUGAAGCUCCCUUGCUGCCUGAGCGGAACUGAAAUGGCUCCCGGCUGAGGCAUUCAAGGGAAAACUCACUGAAAUAUUUGAAACUACCACCAUGAACAAGAAUGCUCUUCCAGUGUGCCAGGGUGUACACCCAGAGCAUUAUCCUCGUUAGUUGUAUAUGCCAGCAUCCGGCAGGCGCUUUUAUCUUUUUUGGGUGUCAACUUUGAGAUUCUUAUGUAAGCUGCGACCUCUUCCUCUGCCUGCAAGGACAUCCACCCACAACCACGUGUUGCCUGGUUUAGAGCCUGCGGCCGGGUCCACCUGCAGGAGGAGGAGUGACUGGUGCAGUGAAGCUCAGACCAGUGAGCCAAGAUCGAGCCACUGCACUCCAGCCUGGGCAACAGAGUGAGACCCUGUCUCAAGGAAAACAAAAAAAGAAAAGAAAAGAGGUCACUUCAAAACUUCCCUAUUCAAACAGUUCACCCUUGAACAGCAGGGUUUGAAUCGCAUGGGUCACUUACUUACCCAUGGAUUUUUUUCGCUUCUGCCACCCCUUAGACAGCAAGACCAACCCCUCCUCCUUUCCUUCCACAUCCUCCUCCUCUGCCUACUCAAUGCAAAGAUGAGGAGAAGAACCUCUAUGAUGAGGCACUUAAUGAAUAGUCAACACAUUUUCCUUAGGAUUGCUUUAUUUCCUCUAGCUUACUUUACUGUAAGAAUACACUAUACAAUACAUAUAACAUAUAAAAUUUGUGUUAACCAAUUAUCUGCGUGAUCACUGAGGCUUUUGCCCAAGAAUAGGCUAUUCUUGGGUAACGGUCAAUCCGUUUUUGGGUAGUCAAAAGUUAUUGGCUGAAUUUCGACUGCGUGGUGGGUUGGUGCUCCUAAUCUCUGCAUUGUUCAUGGGUCAAUUGUAUUGCUUAAGAGGUGGUCAUUGGAACACUCCUUAGGGGCUGACUAUUUUUUUGUUUAAAAAAGUUUUUGCCACAGUGGGCCACUCAUUUAAGGCCCUAAGAUUCCUCACCUCUGAGCUCCUGCUACCGUAGACCAAGUGCUGAUCACUUUUGUUGCUCAACAUACUUGUCUCUUCCAUCUGCCACAGAACCUACUCUCACCUUCCAGGAACUGCUCCUUCCACUGCCUGUGGACCUGAGGGUCAGCGUGUCCAGCCAGGCCGAGGAGGGAGAUCAGUCCUCUCCUGUGCCCCAGUUCAUGGAUGGGCACAGGAUGUGGGUGGUGGGGGCGGUCCACCCGGUUCCUGCUAAUCCCACUGGAUCAUCAGGUGGGGAGAGUCAGCUUGCAUAGUGAAACCAGAGAGCUGCGAGAUGGAGAGUGGGAGUGAGAAACCAACAGAGUGAGACACACACACACACACACACACACACACACACACACACACAGAAAGAGGGAGAGUGAGAGAGAGAGAGAGGGCCAGAGAAGCUGAGACACAGAGAGACAUAGAAAGAUGGAGUAAGAGAUGAGGGGAAGAGAGAAACAGAGACAAACACAGAGUCUUAAAAAGAGACAGAGAGAGACAGAGCAACCAGGAGAGAGACACAGAGAGGGAGAAACAGAGACAGACAAAGUGAGAGGCAGAGAGAGAUGGAAAGAGAGAUGGGGAGAAAGGCAGAGAGAAGCAAAAGCUCAACAUUCCUUGAAUUGCUUCUCCCUGAAGUCACCAUUCUAUUUCUGCACUUCCAAUCACCACCAGGAAUCUUUCUAAGUCACCUGUCCUCCUUCCUUCCCCGUCUUCCCCACGCACUCUUACUAAAGCCUCCUGAAGUCUGCCUUCCCAAUGACAACUCCUCCUUGAAAUGUCACCACUGACUUCCAAACAAGCAGCAAAUAAAAAAGGUUUUUAAAA